rnacentral:rRNA from 1 species
GACGAACGCUGGCGGCGUGCUUAACACAUGCAAGUCGAACGGAAAGGCCCUGCUUUUGUGGGGUGCUCGAGUGGCGAACGGGUGAGUAACACGUGAGUAACCUGCCCUUGACUUUGGGAUAACUUCAGGAAACUGGGGCUAAUACCGGAUAGGAGCUCCUGCUGCAUGGUGGGGGUUGGAAAGUUUCGGCGGUUGCGGGUGGACUCGCGGCUUAUCAGCUUGUUGGUGGGGUAGUGGCUUACCAAGGCUUUGACGGGUAGCCGGCCUGAGAGGGUGACCGGCCACAUUGGGACUGAGAUACGGCCCAGACUCCUACGGGAGGCAGCAGUGGGGAAUAUUGCACAAUGGGCGGAAGCCUGAUGCAGCAACGCCGCGUGCGGGAUGACGGCCUUCGGGUUGUAAACCGCUUUCGCCUGUGACGAAGCGUGAGUGACGGUAAUGGGUAAAGAAGCACCGGCUAACUACGUG